AGACAAAAGGGUUCACAGACUUCGGGAGCGGAGACGAGGGAGACAGGUCAACGACCGUUUCACCGCAAUUGCGGCUUCUACUGGACCAUACGUCACAUCCAGUUUCACAAACUUAAGUGGACAGAUCUUCUCAUCCUGCAGUAAUCAGCGUGUUCGUAAAGGACAACUAAGAUGGCCACUGGAAUUCCAUUGUGGAGACACCGGUAUAUAAUGAAAAAUCAUGCUGAUGGGAGACAGUGGGACCUGCCUACACCAUGUAGGCAGUGAAGUACAGUUUUACAAGCUGUGCAGACAAACAUCAUAGCUGAAAGAAGUCUUCUUGUCUCACCACUUGUGACGUCACCAGCCUGUGGUUUUCUCAUAAUUCAUCGAAUUAUUUCCCUGUUAUCACUGAUCUGCAGAGAGAUUUCUCAGUUCUUCAGUUACAUGUAUUCAUGCUGGAAAAGUAAGUUUGAAAAAGGAAAAGCUGGAAAAAAGAAAGAUUGCUGCGUGCUAAGGAAUGUUCACGUCCAUUACUUCACCAAUAAAACAUGCAAUCUAGGUCAUUUCGUAUCCAUUUCAUUUCUAACCAUACAAAGUAAUCUCUAUAUGAUAUCAUGAGGAGGCAGUAUACUAUAAAUGUUAGAUAUAUGAAAGUCUCUCAUCAGUUGAAAAUGAAAGACGCAGUACACUGCAUAUGAACCUAAGUGUCACAGAGAAACAUAUGUUCUCAAUUGCUUUUGUCACUGCGUCGCCUGAUUCACGAUACCAGGAAAGAAGUUGGCAACUUGCCCUAUAGAUGACUGCAUUUAACACACUAGAUAGUCAUCUUCACAUGAAUGAUGGAUUAGCCAGAGCACCCAGAUUGCAUUUAAAGUGCAUUGUCCGCUGAUGUCAUAUUGCUUCAAGGAAAACCACUGUAGAGUGAGGUCACUGUAAUCGCUAUACCUAUAUGUAUUAUACCAAUCAUGUAACGACAAAUAAAAACAGGCUUUAAAGGGAAAAACACAUUAUUGUGUUGACUACACACUAGUUUCUAGUGUUAUUGGAUUGUCAUAAAAUGACAAUAAAAGGAUGACUUCAUUAUUAACAAAACCACCAUAUAACUGGUUUAUUAUGUUGAUUACACAUUUCACUUUCCAAUAUUACCAAUCUGUUCUAAAAUUGCAAUUAAAGGAUAUUUCCAAUGUCAUCAAAAUAUCAUAAAAGUAUAAAAAAACAACAACAUUGUGCUGUAAAUAAACUUAACACCAGCACCGUUAAUCUUGCUUAGCAACUCCCUAUAAUUAGGCUCUCUUAGGCUCUCUUUUGCCUAAACAACCUUUAUAGUAAAUGCUUACACAGUUUAUUUUUGUUGCUGUUGGUUGAUAUGGCUCCAUAUAAAGAGUUCCACCAGAUUCACUUGUAAGGUGGUAGCAACAAUAAUAACAUGAACAGCUCAAGAGUUCAUAAUUGAAGAUUUCAAAUAACUUCUUACUGUAUUCUACGCAUUUCUUGUAUUGAAAUACAUUCAUCAGAGCACAUUUAUGAGUGGAGGACUAGAUAAAUGAAUCUAUUGCUGUUUUGUAUUUAACUGAGGCUACAUGUUUCCUGCCUGACACCAGUAAAUGUUUGUUAUUA